GAAGAGCAUCAGAAGUUCUGAGUACGUUCUGUCACCGUGCAUGCGCACUUCUCCGAGUUGAGUUGUAACGGAUGAGGCUGACCCUGAGGACGAUGCUGAGAACGCGCUGAAGUUUUUGGAUUUUGCCCUGACCUGCCCUGAGAUUGAUAUGCAAUGCAAUCCCAGUCCAGAAGUACUACUGAAACAUUACAGAUUGUGUCAUUACCAAGGGCGCUCCUGGCCAGACUCUGCUUACCUGGAAAACCAGUUUGUUUAUUGUUGCUAAUUAUACUUUUGCUGGAGUGGCACAGGUUUAUGGCUUAAAAUAAAUGUCUGUUGUGAAAGUCACACAUUUUAAUAAAAUUUUCUUUCAUAGCUACUUGUUAAGAGUGUAACAUUAAUUUAAAUUUUUGUCAUUUUGCAGAUGCUUUUACUCAAAGAGACUUACAAUUGUGGCUGAAUACAAUGCAAGCAAUUGAGGUUUAAGGGCCUUGCCCAGGCCCCCAACAGUGGCAACUUAGUGGUGGUGGGGCUUGAACCAGCAUCCCACUGAAUACUAGACCAGUACCUUAACCACUGUGCUACCAACUGCCAGUUCAGAUAUGUAAAAAACUUUUGCCUGUAAAAAAACAGUUUAGUAAACUUAAAGUAAAAUGUUUAGUCAACCUUAAAAAUCUAAAAGUUAAGCUGACUUGAAAAUGUAAGGCAACUGGCUACCUCACCUUUUUGAGUUUUCUCAACUUCAGGAGCCCAAGCAGUUGUGCAACUUGCUUUGCUAAGUUAGGUUGUUAGUUCACUCAAAUCACUAUUUAAAGUUGGACAAAAUUACAAUUACUAUUUGAUUGUACUUGUAAAAAAAGGUUGAUUUAACUUAAAAUAUUUUUUUAAGUGAACUUGUAGGGAAACUAAAAAAUAAGUACGAAUGCCUGAAGUUGAGAACUCAGAAAAGUGAGGCAGCUGGUUGCCUUUGCUCAACUUUUUAUUUUUUACAGUGUAAAGCUAGCAAUGUUUAGAGAAAAUUUAAAUGCUUUUGUACAAAGCAGAUGCUUUAAUUUGUUGUUGCAGAACUUUUGAAUAAAAAAAUAUGGGAUUUCCAAA